CAGCUACCAGCAUGCACUGCGUCAUUGGACUCCCAGCAUGCACCGGGAGCACAUUUUUUAUCAGGUGGGUGGGAUUCUUUGAGAGGCGUUGCCGCACACAGACUUCUCUCGCAUUAAAUACAGGCAGCCGUUACACAUUUCAGGAAUUGCGAAUAUUCCCCCUGCGAGCUGCAACGAGAGAGUUUCAGAGUUUGGAGGAAAUACAAGCUUGAAUCAUGGCUAACUACAUCCACGUCCCCGACGAGGCUCCCGCGGUGCCUAAAAUAGAUGUGACAGUUGACGAGAGCGACUACAGAUCCGGUGCGAUGAAGCUCAUCAAGGAGCUGAGACCAGACUGGAAGCCAUCUGAGGUCAAAGUGAAGUUUUUCACAGAUGGGAUAACCAAUAAGCUGCUGGGCUGCUAUGUGGGUUCAACCAUGCAGGAUGUGGUUCUGGUCCGAAUUUAUGGCAAUAAAACCGAACUGUUGGUUGACAGGGAAAAUGAGGUGAAAAGUUUUAGAGUACUACAAGCGCACCGCUGUGCCCCUCGCCUGUACUGUACCUUCAACAAUGGCCUGUGUUAUGAAUUUCUGCAAGGGACUGCCCUGGAGCCUGAGGACAUUCGCAGCCAGCCUGUCUUCAGGCUCAUUGCAAGGCAGCUGGCCAAGUACCAUGUCAUCCAUGCCCACAACGGCUGGGUGCCCCAGUCUGACCUGUGGCUGAAGAUGGGCAAGUACUUUGCCCUCAUCCCCAAGUACUUAAAGGAGCCUGAGCGGAAUGCUAGGUUGAGUAAGGAGGUGCCCAGCCCACGGUGCCUGCGAGAAGAGCUGGUGUGGCUCCAACAGAGCUUGUCUGUGCUGGGCUCCCCAGUAGUUCUCUGUCACAAUGACCUGCUGUGCAAAAACAUCAUCUAUAACCAGGAGGCAGGUGAGUACAAACUCCACAAAUGUAGUGAUAAACUUAGCUGUGUGACAUGUUCUGUGAACUGCAUUCAGUGCACUCCCUCACUUUUGUCUCAUGCAUCACUCAUACUCAGUUUUUUGCAUACUGAUACUGCAGGCGUAUCUAUAGAAUGUUCAGAAAAGACAACUCUGUUAAGUGGAUGUUAAAUUUUGAAACUCAAGAAAACUUUACCCCUCUCCCCAAUCUCCUUAUUGCUCCCUGUAAUAAGAACCGUUCGGCUUGUGCAGAGUCAAGUGUUUUUAAAUCUGUUUGGAUUUCAUUAUUUUCCCUUAACUUUGUCUGAUCUAUCAUUCUGAUUCGGAUGAAAACAUUCGAUGUAAUCCACAAUCUGAACGGCCUGAACAAAGUUGCUAUUACAUCUUAACACAUACCAUGUCAAAGUAAUAUUGACAGCACUUGUUUUGUGUUUUGUGUUGGUAUAGAAUUCAAAAGACCCGUCACUGGCAGAACUAUUACUUAACUUUAGCACUAACUAGCUUCAUUUUCUGGGUCAACGAGACUGUACAAAUAAGUGAAACUGUUGUAGUCUUGUCUUGUGUAAUAGAGAAACUGCACACUAAGAUGGUGAGAAAUAUGGCAGGGUUGGGGGGCGGGUUCUGAUUUUCAAUGUGUGUGGGAGGUGGGAUGGGGGGGGGGGGGGGGGGGGGGGGGGGGGGGUUGUAAGAGCUGUCAGUCCCCCUCGUCUUGUGACGGGGGGCGGGGCCCUUCUCAUAGCUCCUUGUGUCUAGCCUUUCUCCCCCAGGAAUGACAGCUGAGGCUGUGGCUGUGCUGUGCUGUGCUGCGCUGGGGAGGCAAUGGAGAGAGACAAACCUCACGCACAGUCAGCUCUGAGGGCCCUCGCGUAGUCUUCCCACUGCUCAGGCUAAUCGGGAUGAGUUCAUGGUAGCAGUAGACGCUACAUAUCUACCUAUUACCCUUCAAUGCUACUUGCCCACCAGUUUCCUUUCUAUGAGACCCAGACUACUUAAGACACUGGUUAUUACUGGAAGGUUUUACUGGAUUGCACUUGUUAUGAGCCACAAAGCUCCUCAUGACAAUACUACUUAUUCCACACUUUCCAUUUCAUUGCAUCAGUACUUAAACGAUCAAUCGUUUACAAGAAUAAAGAUACGUUUUGUGUUACUUUGCAUUUUUCAAACUAGCAAUAAACUCUACAAAUAUACAUUCAAUUGAUCAGACUUACAAUAGUAUUUGCAAAUCUAAUGAUAUACAUAUUUGACAUGAAAGUAUCAACAACCUUAUAUGUUCACAAACAUCAGUCAACACACAGUUUGCUAACUGCAACAAAUUAUCUUUAGUCAAUUCAUAAUAUGUCCUUACUGCUACUAAUACUUACCAGUCAAACAAACCUAUUUUCAUCAGUAACAUAAAGUAGCCUUUAAAGUAGUAGUAAUUAAUACACUUAAUAAUAAUGUUUGAGUCAAGUUUGCUAGAACCACAGCAGCUAGAUAUUUGAAAUGUACUUAACCACUAAAUCCACACACACACACACAUACACCAUUGUAUUGGCCCAACACAAAUACCCACCACAAGCUAGACAUGUUGAAAAUAACAAGGCACAGACAUGUACUGUUGGUUUUUGGCCUUUUCAUGUUAACUAAUAUUUACAAAGAGUAUCAGCAUCUUUAUCCUCUAAGCUUAGGAUAACGAUGAAAACAGCAGGGGAGUGCCUUUGCUGAGUUACUCAGCAGUUUCUUGAAGAGGAGUAAACAUGUUUACCUGGAUAUACUUUUGUCAACAGCGACUCAAAACCAUCUCAGAGAAAGUUCAAAUCCUACCAUAGCCUACUUAGUUCAAAAACUGAGUAGAGUAUGGAAGAGAGUUGAAAAACUAAGUAGGCAUGAAAUCAGACUGAAGUGCUACCUUGCUUCUUUUAUCUGUCACUCAGUGACAUACUCUCUUUUAUCUCUCUUUAGUUUGUCUCAGCCUGCUACUUUGUUCAGAUAUUACCCAAAAAAAUCAACACAUUUAUUCUUGCUUAAGAGACAAAACGUCUGCGGCUCAGAAGCCACCAGCGAGCCUCUAAAAUAUUCAGUCAUUUGCAGAAGCAGCUGAGGUGUCACGCUAUUGGGUCCCAUCGGCCAAUAGGGAGGCAGCAUUAGAGGGGGUGUGUGUGAGAAGGGGAGGUAAAGUCACAUUUUGAAGGGGGGAAAGAAAAUGGAGUUUUGCAGCAGGGCCUGAUGUUGCAACACUGUGCAUGUGAGUGAGACUGGAUCAAAGACAAAUAAUGUCAGUGAGAGAGUGAGCAUGUGUGGAAGAUGUGUUUGCCCCAACCCUUUCAUCUGCUGCACAGGAGGGCUAUAGCCACUGCCUGGAGGUGUUCAGUUGUGUUCCGCUAGGACCUACACGCCGGCUGGUAAUGUAAAGUUCAUUGACUACGAGUACGCUGGGUACAAUUAUCAAGCCUAUGACAUUGGGAACCAUUUCAAUGAGUUUGCUGGCAUUAAUGAGGUGGAUUACAGUCAUUACCCAGAUCGAGCAUUUCAGCUUGAGUGGCUUCAGGCCUAUCUGGAGGCCUACAAAGAACACAAAGGCCAGGGCAAUGAAGUGUCUGAGAGAGAGGUGGAGAUCCUUUACGUCCAAGUCAACAGCUUUGCCUUGGCAUCUCAUUUCUUUUGGGGUCUGUGGGCUCUGAUUCAGGCCAAGUUCUCCACCAUCGACUUUGACUUCUUGGGAUACGCAGUCCUGCGCUUCAACCAGUACUUCAAGAUGAAACUGGAGAUGGCUGAACUGCAUUUACCAGAAUAAUGCCCCCAAUCCGCCAUCUCUAUUUUCACCUGCUCUUCCUUCCCUUCCAACCAGCUCUGUGCCUCACACGAUGACUGCACAGCGCCACACUGGGGUUGUAUGUAGAGACGAGACAGACCGAAAGUCUGAGUUCCUACUGGUCCCCUUUAUGUGUCCUUCUCAUUGCAGAUGAAAGGACAAUACUCUUCCAUCAUGCUGUCGUACCUUUGUUCAGCAAAGGGCAGGACAAAUCAUUUGUACUGUGACUCUGUGUGAAGUAGGAACUUAAGCGCUGCGAUAAUGUGAAGCCAACAUAACUAAAUUACCUUGAUAAUUUAAAAUGAUUCUUAAUAUCCUUGAGGAUAGUAACAGCACUUCAGCUUAUUCUGCCUGUCAGAAGCUUUUUCCAAAGCUCUUCUCAUUUGAAAACAGCAGAGGCUUGAUGUGAAGUCCUUCACAAACUAUACAUAAUCAUCUAAAUGACUAACAGGGGGGUAAGCUGUACACAAAUUGCCCCAACACAUCUUUCUGUUAUGCACAGUCAUGGAGAAAACUCUCUAGCCCAGCCCAGCUAUUGACCAAAUUAAUAUAGACAUUAAAGCAGGACAAAGUCGGCUUUGUUUUCUGAGUAACCAAGAUUAAAAAAAAUAAAUGCCAACACGGAACGCUAAGUGCUGUUCCUUUUAUCUUGUGAUAUGAGCCACAGCACCCUCCAAACUUGUGGCCUGCCUUGUGACUCUCUUGUUUUUGCCCUUAUUUUCUCCCAGGCAGAGUCUGUUUGGGGAGUGCACCAGAUUAGCCAUGUGUUUAUUGUUGCUGUGUAGUUCGGUGAGGGCCUUUGUCUUUGGCUUUUCUAAAUUAAGGCUAGAAACAUGGAGUUGUAGGAGAAGACAUUGUGUUUACACCAAACCUCUACCUUGAGUUGUACUCAUGAUGACUAAGCACUCUUUUGACUGAAGGGACAUUUUCAUUGUAAAGUACUUUACACUUUUGUUCGGACACUAGGGGUUUGUAUACAUCUUAAACUGGAGACAAGUCUGCAUCUCACUGUAAUUUGAACAUUCCUUGUUCAUAAUGCAAAAAAACACAUUUGGUUGUAGACGACAUAGCAAGCCAGAAGCAUUGGGAACUUUAUGACUGUACAUCUAUGUAAAACAUCCUGUGCAAAACGAGACCAAACCAUUGUAUUGUCUGCUGUAUGUCAGGGAAAGUGCAUACAUCAUCUUUAUUGUCACAAAACACAUCUAUUAAGUUCCAGUGAUCCAAGGACUGACCAGUUGUACACACCUGUAGAGCAGUUUCAUUGUCUUGUUAUGAUAUGGCUUUGCUUUCUGUCAUUCAUUGAAGAGCCACAUGUCAAAAUGCUGAUCUGUAGGAAAGUUGAACCUUAAGAGGAAACGAAAGUGGUGGUGGUUAUCUUUGCUUGGUAAAAUGAAACCCGAGAAUGACUCACAAGUCGGCUGCUCUUUGACCUGAAGAGAGAGAGAGCGCCCUCUGCUGGAGAGAAACCGAGAAAGCUGUUGUCAGUAGCUGUUGUGGUUAUCACCUUAGACCUUCAUGCCAAAUGUCAACGUUUUUUAAAUACCUUUUUAGAAGGCCUUUUUAGAGAUGAGACAAGUUCAUCUCACAGUAACUUUUACAAGCCUACACCAAAGUGCUGACAUUUGUUUCCUGCUUGUAAAUAGUCCACACUGUAUCAUUUUCCAUGUAGCACUUAGGGCAUUGGUGAAAUGUGAUCUUUUAAACCUAUUUAAAGAGCGAUGUUAAAGCUGGGAUCUUUCAGGGUUGGUGGAUGUUUUCUGAUAAAGCGACUGACAGCUUUGGGCAAAUUUAACUCUUUCAAAAAUCAAAAGAAAGACGUACAGUUACUGAAUCAUCAUCUCUUUUACGAGAAGCAUCACAUGUAGAACGUGGUGAAAUACGUUUUCUUGUUUACUAAAGAACAUUUGCACGGAAGUCUCUGCUGUAAGAAGUUCCUGAAGAGACCAUUAAUGAUAAGACUGGCUUGUCCACUCCUGUUAAAGACCCUGCAGUAGUAGCCAAGGAGUAGAUAUCAGAUUAUUACUCUACGUAUGCCAGUGAAAGCUGAUUUUAUACCAGUAGUUUUCAGCAUUGAAGGAUGGACCUGUUACUUCACCUCUGUCUUUAUUGUCUUCUAUGUGUCUUUCAUGCUGGUAAAUCUAGCUGAAGGAGUUUGAGUUGAAUCCAAAAUGAAUGUGUGUGAGAUGAUCAUUUGUUUGGAUGAAGUUACCAGUUCGACUUUUGUCCAAGGAUCAUGUUGAGGGUCGGCGGAAGUUUUGUCGGUUGAGAUUGUUUACACAUAACCCACAUACAUAAUGCAGUUUGUCAAAGUGGACAUAACAUUUUUCAUCAUGUUGAAAGUAAUACUGCCGAAAUAUGUCCUUCGGGUUACAAUAGCCAUUCUUCUAACGUUAUUGAAGGUCUUUUGACUGCUCAUCAUACAUGGGUCAUCUCAGUACUGCUAAUAAUAUGAGCCUCCACAACAUUUCAAAUGGACGUAUGUGUAUGUGUGUGUGUGUGUGUGUUUCUUAUGUAACAUUGUAAAAAGUCCUUAAUUCUCUGGCCACAUGUAUUUAUAUGUACAGUAAACAAAUAUAAUAUCUUUGCUUGUUCUCCAAUGUGAAUGAAUGUACAUAGGGGGAGUUCUUUUGUUUUUUUUCAUUUGUUUUCUAAAAAUAACGCUUACGUAAAUAGCUACUUGGGGUAAAAGGUGAUCAUUAAAAAUGACUUUUUUCAAAACUGUAAACAUCCUAUAAAAAAUAAAGUCUUUUUACCCUAA